CCUACGGGUGGCAGCAGUGAGGAAUAUUGGUCAAUGGACGCAAGUCUGAACCAGCCAUGCCGCGUGCAGGAAGACGGCCCUAUGAGUUGUAAACUGCUUUUGUACGAGGGUAAACGCAGAUACGCGUAUCUGUCUGAAAGUACCGUACGAAUAAGGAUCGGCUAACUCCGUGCCAGCGGCCGCGGUAAUACGGAGGAUUCAAGCGUUAUCCGGAUUUAUUGGGUGUAAAGGGUGCGUAGGCGGUCGGUUAAGUUAGAGGGGAAAUCCCGAGGCCCAACUUCGGAAUUGCCUCUGAUACUGGUCGGCUAGAGAGUAGUUGCGGUAGGCGGAAUGUAUGGUGUAGCGGUGAAAUGCUUAGAGAUCAUACAGAACACCGAUUGCGAAGGCAGCUUACCAGGCUACUACUGACGUUGAGGCACGAAAGCGUGGGGAGCAAACAGGAUUAGAUACCCGAGUAGUC
rnacentral:rRNA from 1 species